UGGUCAAAUCAUACCGAAAACACUGGUUCUCAUUCGAUCACUGAAGUUAAGCACUGAUGAACCUGGUCAGUGCUUAGAUGGGAGACUGCCUGGGAGC